GCCCCGCCCCGCUCUCCCGUGCGCCUCCUCUCCUCUUCCUCUCUCCCCUAGCGCCGCCGUCCCUGCCUCCUUCCACGACGCCGCCCGGCCUCCUUCUCCUCUUCCUCUCGCCCCUAGCGCCACCGCCCCUGCCUCCUUCCCCACCGCCGCCCGGCCUCCUCCCCUCACGUCCUCCUCCUUCCACCCCCUUCAAUCUGGCGCCGCCCAAACCAUGAAGAGCGGCCAAAGGAGCAACGACGGCCAGCCCCUGCCUCCUUUCCAGCACGUCCAGGGAUCCAUAGAUUGGUCCACAAUUACCUGACUCUCGUUUUUGUUAUUGGAUCUGGCUGCCGCGGUCGCCGUGGUCUCCUCGUGGUCGUCGGUCAGGUCGUUCGAAGGUGUGAAGUUUUGGGCCGUGCGCGUCGCUUGUCGUCGUCUUGGCCGCCGGUGUGCUGUCAAAGUAGAGAUGCCAUUAGGGUUUGUUUUGCUGGUUGGUGGCCAGUAGUUUGCUUCCUCUUGCACCGGAUUAGUUGCCGCUCUUCGAGGAUAAGUCAAGUUGCUUCGUCGCGCAGAUGGUCUACUUGUGACCGCGGUCAUUUGCUCAAUCUGCCGUGACUGUUCCUUGUGCCGAUGGCUCUGUCGUUGUGGGUGACAUCAAUGUUGUUGUGCAGCGGUAGAUGCUGCACGCCAGAUUGGUUACCACAGCUUGCAGCUUUUAGUGGUGUUUUUCUUUUCGUUUGAUUGGUUUAUGAAUCAGGGUUUUCUUAGACUCAGACUGAUUGUUAUGUACUCGGAUAUCUAUGUGCCGCAUGAGCCUCCUGGAUCGAUUCCCCGCGGUCGUAAACGUGCAUACUUCUUUGCUAUUUUUCAACUGGGGCUUGUGUUUGAUUGUAGGUUUGCUGAUUCCUUUGUUCUCUUUCUUUUUGGUGUC